rnacentral:lncRNA from 1 species
UAAAUUAAAUGAAUCUUGUGCUCACUUGCCCCUUGAAUGGCCGGAUAUCUCUACCAUUUUGGCCAAUUUUAUUAGUUGUUUUAUUUGUUUAAUAACCAUCUAGAAGAUCCAUACAAAUUGGAUCAUCACUUGGGCCAAUUGUUUUAUUGUUUGGGCUCUCAAAUUAAAUUGCUUGGGCUAUAAAAAAAAAUAGCAUGAUCCAAUAGAUAAAUUUUAUUAUAUCCUAAUCAUUUAAUUAGGAUUUUCAUUCCACUCAUUUUGAA